GAAAUCUCCACUGAAGCUGUCUGGUUUUCCUGAUGCAACCAACUGUUUAAUGGUGAAAAGGAAAGGCACACGCUCACCACCAGGUAGCUGAACAGUCACAGCAGCAUAGUCAAUGCCAUCUUUCUCCUCAAACUUGAUGUUUCCAUCAGAAGAGACUUCGAAAGGUCCCUCAAUCUCGUCAAGAGUGUAGGUUAAACGUGUCAUAAGCUUAGUUUUUUGGAAAUCAGGUGGGGAAUUCUUGUUUAUACCUUCAGCCUUGACUGUGAAUGAAGUUGGCUCUAAGCAGAUCUUCUUAGCAUUGUAUUUGCCGGGCUUGAAGGCAAAUGAAUCAAGUCCUCCGUCAAUGGUUGGGCAUUGGUUAGCAGUUCCAGAUCCUUUUACUUCCAUGUAUGUCUUGCUCUGGAUUUCUUCAUAGGUCAGCCUCUUCGGAACUCCUUCAGCACUUGCUCCCUGAAAUACAAAAAGCGAUCACCUCCGGGGUCAGAUUUACUCCUCAAUGUAACACUGAAAUCUUAAAAAAAAAAAAAAAAAAAGUUCAGCAAACUAAGCUCUCUAAGCAUUUCUUCUUUAAUUCCUCGUUGAUCAAGCACUAACCCUCAAACUCAAAUACCAUUGUUAUUAAUGUGUCAGGGCCAAUGAGAGAUGGAAAUGAACAAUACGAGGGCCUGGCCUUAAAAUUCUCCUGUCAAGUUCUGAACAGUAUAACAUGUGGACAGUGCAUGCAGCACAAAUUAGGACUGUUUACUUCCACUGCUUUUAAUCACAUCUGAAAAUUGAGCCUAGACAGUGAUCCUAAACUAAAAGAAUCAUCAUACAAAAUGAAGUUUUUGCUACAAUAUUAUCAAUUCUCAAAAGGAUAGAUACUUCUUCCUUUCCUAGUCAUCUUACAUGAAAAUAAGCAGUUAAACCAAGUCCAUUAACACUAUACUAUGAUUAAGAGGGCAGUAUGUGUACAAAAAAAACACAGAACAAGGCAGGGUCAGGACAUUAUCAGGCCAAUCAAAUUAUAGUCUAACAUUAAUCUGAUCAUACAACCAUUGGAAGUUCAAAAACAUCAGACUAAGACAUACUCACCGAGACAACAAGAGCUGAAGUAGCAAGAGCAAAACCAGCUAUCUUACUAGCAUCUACACACUUUUGAGCCAAGUCUUUAAGGUCAGAUUGCAAAGAGCAAGAAAUCCUA
rnacentral:lncRNA from 1 species